GAGGGGCAGCCGGGAAGGAAAGCAGUGACCAUAUAUAUCAGCAAGGCGGCGAAACCCGAGACUCUACAACUGUAGUGUCUCCCACCCGCCCUCCUCCUCUAACCUAGUUAAUAAGGACACAAUCAUCGCCUUGGAAGCUUCAUCACGAUACUACUUCGCAUUUCUAAAGAGGGAAGAAGAAAUCAAUAUGCAAAUUCAAUUCCAUGGUUUUGGAAGUCCCAUUGAGAACACGAUUCAUUUGCGCCGGCACAAUGUUCUGACCGAGAAAGAAUUGAAGAACCUACCCCGGAAGAGAGAGCCCAGAGAAUUGCCAAAGCUGUCCGCAAACAGUCAACAGAAGUGAAGGAAAAUUGGGAGCAAUUGAAAACCCGUGCGAGCAACUGGCAGAAACAGGUGGAAAAGGCGUUGGAGAAACUUCAAGAACUGCAGAAAGCGCUGGAUGAUCUUGAGGCUCAUGUGAUAACAGCUGAGGGGGUCCACACUGAUUGGCAACCUGUGGGUGACCUGCUUAUUGACUCAUUGCAGGAUCACAUUGAUAAAACCACAGGUAAGGACUAUCUGCAAAAUCUGAGAUUGGGUUUUGAAAGACAGCAGCCUUUGUUUUGGAGAGAUAAUGGGAACUGCAGAUGCUGGAGAAUGCGAGAUAACACCGUGUGGAACUGGAUGAAGACAGCAGGCCAAGCAGCAUCUUAGGAGCACAAAAGCUGACGUUUCGGGCCGAGAACCACCUUCAGAAAAUGGGGAGG